rnacentral:rRNA from 1 species
AUUGAACGCUGGCGGCAGGCCUAACACAUGCAAGUCGAACGAGUGGCGGACGGGUGAGUAAUGUCUGGGAAACUGCCCGAUGGAGGGGGAUAACUACUGGAAACGGUAGCUAAUACCGCAUACCAUCGGAUGUGCCCAGAUGGGAUUAGCUAGUAGGUGGGGUAAAGGCUCACCUAGGCGACGAUCUCUAGCUGGUCUGAGAGGAUGAUCAGCCAAAACUGGAAUGAGAAACGGCCCAGACUCCUACGGGAGGCAGCAGGGGGGAAUAAUGGAACAUGGGCGGAAGCCCUAUGGAGCCAAGGCGGGUGGAAGAAGAAGGGCUUAGGGUUGGAAAGGACUUUUAGCGGGGAGGAGGUAACCGGAGAAGAAGCACCGGCUAACUCCCGGCCAGCAGCCGCGGUAAUAC